rnacentral:rRNA from 1 species
UACAGAGAUCCCAAGCGUUGUUCGGAUUCACUGGGCGUAAAGGGUGCGUAGGCGGUCGGGUAAGUCUGAUGUGAAAUCUCACAGCUUAACUGUGAAACUGCAUUGGAUACUAUCCGGCUCGAGGAAUGGAGGGGAGACUGGAAUACUUGGUGUAGCAGUGAAAUGCGUAGAUAUCAAGUGGAACACCAGUGGCGAAGGCGAGUCUCUGGACAUUUCCUGACGCUGAGGCACGAAAGCCAGGGGAGCAAACGGG